UAAUUGCAUAUGCGAGUAUCCAACAUCCACUGAUCCAAGCCUCACUCAACCUUCCUGAAAUUCGUUAUUGUUUUUGUAGAAAAAGGAAAGGAGCGCAAGUUCGAAAAGAGAAUAGCGAAUGAAGAAGGACACAGCGAUUGUGUCCAUUUUUGUGUUCUCGAUAUUUUCUUUUCAACAAUUCCUCCAUGUUUCUUCUUCGUCUCUUUUAUAUGCAAACCAGGUUUACAAAGAAUCUUCUGGUGAAAGCAAUCUUAAACAGGAGCAAGAGCAUGCUCCUGAAGUGCGUUGUUCCAGAGAGAGAAGCAGGGCCGCAUCGAAAGUAAUAGAUGAGUAUUUGACACCAUUUGUGGAGAAAGAAAACUAUCAGCUUUCAAGAAAGUGCAGACUUCACCCUGAGAAUGAUAUGUUUAGGGAUCAAGAAGAGCAUAAAAUUUACAUAGAUAGAUAUGAAUGGCGGUGUGGAUAUUGCAAGAAAAGCUUUCGUGAAGAAAAAUUUAUUGAUCAGCAUUUUGAUAACAGGCACUACAAUCUUUUGAAUCUAAGUGAUGACAAAUGCUUGGCUGAUUUAUGUGGGGCAUUGCAUUGUGAUGCUGUAAUGAAUUCCAAGUCCUCUAGAAACAAGUGUAAUCCAGCAGCUGCUGCAAGAAACCGUCACCUAUGUGAGAGUCUUGCCGACAGUUGUUUUCCUGUAAGUGAGGGUCCGUCAGCUAGCCGUCUUCAUGAAUUGUUUCUGCACCAAUUUUGUGAUGCUCACACCUGCUCAGGGAAACAUAAACCCUUCUCUAGAGGAGGCAAGGUAAGGCCUGAUUGUCUCGCUGGGGAAAUUUAUUAUCAAUAUGCCUUUCAUUUGAACUAUGCCAUUGCUAACUUCAGUAAUACAGGGAUAUGUAUACUUUCACUCAUAGAUGAUCUGUGUUGUGAGGUUUUAGGCCUUGUGGCUUGUGUUAUUCAGAUAGUCAAUACAAAAAAGCCUUACUGACAUUACUUGAAUGGUUGACUUUUGGCUUGCUUAAAUCAUCAUCUGAGCUCAAACACAGUCACAGUACCUUUCUUUUUCUAUCAGGAAGGUUUUCAAAUUUUUAGCUCGUUGUCUCUUCAAUUCAUUAUGCUCUAGCUUCUGAAGAUUUUGGGUUCACUAUACCUAAUUUAUUCUCACAGUAUAUCAGUAAGCUAUUUAUUAAUCAUAAUACUUUGUUUCUCCAGGACCAAGGUGGUUUCUUUCGUCUGGCUGUUGGAGCAUUGAUCUUAGUGCUACUUCCUGUGUUCUAUCUCUUUCUUUACUUGGUACAAAGUGAUAUGAACGGCCGAACUCAAGAACUUCGUCGCAUCUCCAAAGCUGGAUGGAAAUCAAAGCCAUCAUGAUUGCUGAUUGGUUAGACUGUAGCAGUCAUCAUAUAUGAUGAAUGGGUUGACAAAAAUGGGAAAUGUUACACUUAGUGUUGAUUUUGGCCUUUCCCUCAAGUAGACUCUCUUUGCAUGUCUGUGUCUAUGAAAGGAACGGAGAAGAAUUAUUAGGAGUACAUAAAGGAAAUCAUGCUUGGCAUUGGUCACACAUUCCCUGAGGUAAUGAAGGGCAGGAAAAACAUUGUUUGAGGAUCAUACAUCUUUUGUCCAUUAAGCCAAGUAAGAGGUUAUUAGCCGAGCAAUUUGCCAAUCCAUUUUUUAUGUUUCACUCAAAGUAUGUGUAAUCACUCACCUUUUUUCAUAUCGUUGUGGUUUAAGCUGUUCGGCAUUCUUUACAAAAUCCACGCAUUCAGAAUUACAUUGGUGUAUGUACUGUACCUGCAAAAAUUAAAGUGCAAAUAGACACAACAUCUUAUUGUGAAACAUAAUCUCUACAUUAAGGGCUUAUUUAAUGUUAUGCCAAAGGUGUUUAUGAGUUUA